GCAAGUCGAGCGGGAUUUAAUAGCUUGCUAUUAAUGAGAGCGGCGCACGGGUGAGUAACGCGUAUGCAACCUACCUUUUACAAGGGGAUAGCCCAGAGAAAUUUGGAUUAAUACCCUAUAGUACUGCUGAAUCGCAUGAUUUAGUAGUUAAAGAUUUAUCGGUAAAAGAUGGGCAUGCGUGACAUUAGUUUGUUGGUGAGGUAACGGCUCACCAAGACUACGAUGUCUAGGGGUUCUGAGAGGAUUAUC
rnacentral:rRNA from 1 species